rnacentral:tRNA from 1 species
GCCGGGGUAGCUCAGCUGGUUAGAGCGCCAGCCUCCUAAAAUGGGCGCUACUCAUAAUCUGGAGGUCGUGGGUUCAAAACCCACCCCCGGCAC